GAAAACGUGUUGCCGGGGCAAAUCCCGGCACUAACCUCCUUAUCCAUAACACCUGUGCACUGUUGGAUGCUUGCAUCCACUUUUAUACUAAACAAUUUGUAACAAAUGUAGUCUUGUUAUAACAUAAUAAAACUUUCAACAACGGAUCUCUUGGCUCU
rnacentral:misc_RNA from 1 species